AUAAUUCAAUUUUAUUUUCUCUCCCCUUUUUUAUUAUUUUUAUUUUUAGCUGAAAAGACGUAAAGGCAGUCAGCCCAGUGGUGUUUCUGGAGAGGGAUUCCUUCAGAAAUGGAGAAGACAGAAAGCUGCGGAGGCAGAUAUUUGCAGCAGUCUAAAAUAUCGAGCUCAACAGCUAUUUUAAGAGCCAACCCUCACAAACCUUCCUAAAAACUAAAAGAGCUAUUACUGAGUCUCAGCGAAUCUUGCCAUGAUCAGCUCUUCCCAGAAGAGAAGGAAGACCAAGGAAAUGAUUUGCUCAGGAUGAGGAAUGAAGAUGGCCAUCUUGUGCUCAAACAAACAGAAGUCCUCUGAUGAUCUCAUCAGCCAAAUGAGGGGUUUUGACCAAGUGAUGCUCUUGAAAGGAGAGAAAGAAGAGGAUGUGGUAAAUUCUCUUCAGAGAAAAAGCUUCUCAAAAGGUCUCAAAACAGCUUGAAGAAUGGU